ACUUCCGGAGUCGGCCUCGGAGCUGGGCUUCCUGGCGUUGGUGUUGGAGACUGUGUUGUCUUAGCUGUUUUAGUUAGCGAGCAGUUAGGGUGGAGUCGGCCUCGUGGAUUCCGCUCUCAAACCAGCAAGUGUGAUUUGAAUUCUAAAACACUGAGCUUUCCGAGUCGAAAGGUUCCAAGUUUAUUCCGACCUACGGAAGCCCAGGAGGACCAGGAUUACCGCUGCCAAUAGAAUUGAGAGAGCUAAGGUCACCUCCAGCCUCCGGGGGAUAAAUGCUCUGCUGGAAUUCCUGAGCAGCACAGCCAGCCCCAGUUCUAAUUUGAGAACCUGGGGUGAUGAAUGGCAAGAAUGACAGAAAUGAAGACGUCUGUAGCACUAAGGACACCUUUUAACUGUGUCACAUUUGCCUAACUUUGCCUUAAAUGUAUCAUGGUAACUGACAGCUUUGACUGAAAAAUAAAGAUCACUGAUAUGGUU